rnacentral:rRNA from 1 species
UAGGGAAUCUUCGGCAAUGGACGAAAGUCUGACCGAGCAACGCCGCGUGAGUGAAGAAGGUUUUCGGAUCGUAAAACUCUGUUGUUAGAGAAGAACAAGGACGUUAGUAACUGUACGUCCCCUGACGGUAUCUAACCAGAAAGCCACGGCUAACUACGUGCCAGCAGCCGCGGUAAUACGUAGGUGGCAAGCGUUGUCCGGAUUUAUUGGGCGUAAAGCGAGCGCAGGCGGUUUCUUAAGUCUGAUGUGAAAGCCCCCGGCUCAACCGGGGAGGGUCAUUGGAAACUGGGAGACUUGAGUGCAGAAGAGGAGAGUGGAAUUCCAUGUGUAGCGGUGAAAUGCGUAAAUAUAUGGAGGAACACCAGUGGCGAAGGCGGCUCUCUGGUCUGUAACUGACGCUGAGGCUCGAAAGCGUGGGGAGCAAACAGG